rnacentral:lncRNA from 1 species
ACUAUUAUGCAGGAAAUGGUCCAUUCCAUACGGUAACAAACGGGGACAGUAGACGACAAUUUGCUUAGGGUUCUGAGGCCCACAGGAAUGCUGAAAGUGCUGAACGAGGCCCAUGUGCCCGGAGAUGUACCGGUUGAGAACUUUUCCAAUCUGACAGGCCAGGUGGGACCAGUAAUCCAGUUAGUAACUGCCUUGAUUUGCACUUUCUUUUGGAGUAUUGACAGGCCAGGUUUGACCAGUAAUCCAGUUAGUAACUGCCUUGAUUUGCACUUUCUUUUGGAGUAGAUUACUCCCCUUUCCCUAAGAUGAAUCCUGAGUCAUCUCUCUCUGUGACGCUCUCUCUCACUCUGACGCUUUGAAGCCCCAGGGAAUCGAACCACUCCCAUGAGAAAGAAGCCAAUGACGCUGUUGUGUCGUCAACCACUUCGGUGAAGGAAUGGUGGUUAGCUCAAUUCCCGGGAUUGGGUCAAUAUGUGCAAAACCUUAGUAACUGCCUUAGCCCUAUAGCUUCGGGCGGGUACCUCAAUACCCAUACUCUGAGCACUUGACUAAUCUAUAACUUUGAUAUCAUCAAAAAAAUGAAAAAAUACCUUUGGGAUCAUUAGCUCAAAGGCCUUUGACAGAGACGAAUGGGUACUGCAGUGUCUUAUUAAGCAGCUGCAACUACACUACUAGGUUAGACUCAUGGCAUCUCCACAUUAAAACAUUUCUCUUACUGCUGAAUCAAGCUCAAGUUCCCGUCGAGUCCCGACCAACAGGUAUUUGUCGACUCAGGGCUUUGAAGUGGUUUUAUCUUUCUUCUCUACUCUUUUUUUCUUGCUCCGUAGAGUCGCGUUCUUAUUUCUUGCUCGGUAGAGUUGCGUUCUUGGAUCUACCACGGGGGAUUAGUCUUGAAGGUAACAAAAUUAAUCCUAAAACCAAACAAAGAAAAGACUCGGGUGAGGAGACCGAGCGUAUAAAGACUUUCUUUCUAUAGAUAGGGGCCUAGGCCUAAAAAAAAGCAGACAGUAUCGAAAAGAAAGGUUACCACUGCAAGGAUCCCCCGUGGAAUGAAAAGUUUACUUUAUAGGGGGUAGAGUUGAUCACACUUUAUUUUUCAAAUGAGAAUGGCCA